CCACGUGUCUAUACAAUUGAAAUACCUACUCUCUCAUCAUACAAUUGAAAUGCUCUAGGUCCAGGUCCUCAUAGUCCAAACACAAUAGAGUACAAGGACAACUCAAUCAUUGGCGGAAGCAGUUCCACCGGAUCAUGAUGUGAGGGAGCAUUUUCCUUCGAAUGACGUAACAAUGCCAUUAUUUCCGAAACAAAAUGCACCACUGGAAUCGAC
rnacentral:lncRNA from 1 species